rnacentral:rRNA from 1 species
UGCGUAGGUGGUAGGGUAAGUCGGAUGUGAAAGCUCGGAGCUCAACUCCGAAAUGGCAUUGGAAACUACCCAACUAGAGGGUCGGAGGGGGGACUGGAAUUCUUGGUGUAGCAGUGAAAUGCGUAGAUAUCAAGAGGAACACCAGUGGCGAAGGCGAGUCCCUGGACGACUCCUGACACUGAGGCACGAAAGCUAGGGGAGCAAACA